CAAGGGGUGACAGACUUGCACCACUAACUCACUGUGAAGAGCAGCUCAACAGAUAUUCCAAAAAAAGAAGAGUUAUGCUACUAUGAAGUCCUUGGUGGAUGCAAUCAAGCACACAGCUCGGUGUGAGGAGAAGGUUCCAUGACGAAAACUGGUGCUCAUCGUAAAGGAUUCAUGCAGUUCGGGCUUGCUGCCGUGGCCGCGUGCAGCAGAAAGGAGGCGAGACGGGAAGGGUAGGUACAAAUCCUUAUUUUGCCUUCUUUCUACUGAAAGCAGAAGGUGCUGCUCUUGAGCUCCGUCUGGAUUGCUUUUGGGCCACACCGUGUGGUGGCGGUUCUUUAGGGAGCCAUGAUGGCCGCCGACCCCGGGUGAGGACUGGCCUCCCUCAGCCACGAAGCUGUUCCUGAGGCGGCGAACCCCCGCGGGGCUCGGCUCCUCCUUAGGGCUGGUCCCGCAGAGAUGAGGGGGAGAGAGAAAAAUAAAGCCCCAAAGAAGAUGAUUUAAUGUAUUCUGACC